ensembl:miRNA
AGGUGGGAAGAUGGCUUGAAUCUAGGAGAUGGAGGUUGCAGUGAGCUGAGAUCAUGCCACUGCACUCCAGCCUGGGCCAUAGAGGCAG